UAAUGAGUUUUGUGCGCUUUAUUUAUAUACCAGAGUAAUGAGUUUUGUGCGCUUUAUUUAUAUACCAGAGUAAUGAGUUUUGUGUUGUUAUCUGUGGUAAUCAAACAUGCACUACAGAUGCAGUGGAUAGGGAUUAGGUUUAAACAGCACUGAAGUUUUCCUUUUGGUAUAUUUACAUACAAGUAGAUGAGAUUGAGAUUUUUUAGCUGUCAGUAUUUGAUAUCACUAGUGAUGUGAAUUGACAUGUUAAUUGUGCAAAAUAAGCAGCCUUCGUCCAGUAAGGGGAUCUAUAAUGUACACAAAUUUUUGUUAUUUCGUUUCAUGUUGCUAUAAUGUAUUGUGCAGUGUCAGUAAUAGAAACCAUCUUUAAUAAAGAGGUCAGAUCAAUAAAAUGUAUUUAUUAAAAUUAAAUAAUGAGCACUUUUAAAACUUAAAACUCAAGUCUAAAUUGUUGAAUCUACUGUAAGUCUUCAUAAAUACUAAUAAAUACUUAAAUACUCAUAUGGUAUUAUUCAGUGUCAAAUAUAUAUUUUCAAUAGUUUCAAUAUUUUCAAUUCUCAAUAGUUGUUGAAUAUCCUCCAAGUAUAUUAACACCUCUUAACACCUCUGUUAAGGCAAUAUUGUAAAUUUUGGGUUUUUGCAUCAUCGCUGUCAUGUUUUUUUUUUCCUUCCUCAUUUGGCAUCCACUCCUGUAAGACGUAAUCAGCUGUUUUUUUUUUUUUUUUCAUGUUUCAGGUAACAUAUGCAAUUCCUGAGAGCAGCUGAACGGGUUCCGGCGGAGCUGGAGGGGGCGAGGGACAAAGGCCGAGCUGUGGAUUGUGUUGCUGGACGGUGAAUGGAGCGGCGCUACGAGCACGGUGCAGUGUUCUGAGGCCAUGCCCCCUACCUGAAUUUGCUGGUAUGCAGUAACACCAAAGAGGAAGAAAGAAAGUGAUGGUACUACAUUUGAGCUUCAUAGGAACCUGAUGUGGACGCCGUUAGGGAGACGUUCUGGAAUGGGUUGGUGGCAGGUCAAGACGGGGCACACUGACACAGCCAGAAAGAUCUCAGGUUCGUGUGGAAGACCCUUGGGCCAGAGGAUAGACCACCUGGACCCACAACUCCUUCAAUCCCAUCAUCACAAUCGUGUUGUUGAUUAAAAAUGAAUUAAUUUCCAUUUCAUAAUAUAUGAACAUGUGGCUUAUUCUAAUAUCUUAUCGUUUCUUUAGCAGAUCAUUCACAGGAAAUUGUAUAGCGGAUGCUCCACAUAGUCUAAGGCUAACAGUAAACUGUUUUUAAAUAAUGUGUUCUUUAUUUAAUAUGUAUAAUCAUUGACAUGGUGAAGUUUUCUGUAAGGUGAUGGUUAAUAAACAUUUGUGGAAGGAGUCUCCAGUUUCAGAGCUUUGUGAUAGUCAGUGGGUUUUUCCACCACAAGAGAGUCUUUCUGCUUUCUUUCAACAUGACAACCUGUGUUUUUUUUUUAUAUAUAUAUAUUUUUACUUUUUUCUUCUUAAUUUCAAGAGAGUGAAAAAAAGUCUGGUGUGGGAACGACUAUUUAUAGUUGCAAUAACAUAAGUGAUAACUGGAACAAACUUGUCUUAUGAAUGUUUCACAACAUUAAAUGUACCUAUAAACGUUUAACAUAUUUGAAAAAGCAUCCCUUUUGUGCCUUGUAUACUUAAUUUAAGGUAAUUAAUCAAGGCUUUUAUUGUAGUGUCAUUCUUUAUUUGAGUUAAUUAGCUGCAUUAGACUGAUGGACCUACCUUUUCCAUGAAACAGAAUUGGUUAUUAUAUGCACUGUCUGGCCAAAAGUAUGUGGACACCUGACAAUCACAUCUAUAUGAGCUUGUUGGACAUCCCAUUCCAAAACCAUGGGCCCCCUUUUACAGCUUAUACAGCCUCCAUUCUUUUGGGAAAGCUUUCUACAAGAUUUUGAAGUGUGUCUAUGGGAAUGUGUGCCCAUUCAGUCAAAAGAGCAUUCGUGAGAUCAGGCACUGAUGGCCCGCAAUUGGGUUGAAACCAGGGCUCUGUGCAGGCCAUUGGAGUUCCUUCACACCAAACUCAUCAAACCAUAUCUUUAUGAACCAUGCUUUGUGCACAGGGGCACAGCCCAGUAAAGGAUCAGUAAAGGGCCUUCUUUCCCCAACCUGUUGCCACAAAGCUGGAAGCAAACAAUUGUCUAAAAUGUCUAUGUAUGCUGUAUCAUUAACAUUACCUUUCACUGUAUCUGAGACCAAACCCUGGAAAACAGCCCCAGACCAUUAUCCCUCCUCCACCAAACUUUACUGUUGGCACUAUGCAUUCCAGUAGGUGGCGUUCUCCUGGCACUCGCCAA